rnacentral:rRNA from 1 species
UACGGGGGGAGCAAGCGUUGUUCGGAUUUACUGGGCGUAAAGGGCGCGUAGGCGGUCAGCACAAGUCAGUUGUGAAAUCUCCGGGCUUAACUCGGAACGGUCAACUGAUACUGUGCGACUAGAGUGCAGAAGGGGCAACUGGAAUUCUCGGUGUAGCGGUAAAAUGCGUAGAUAUCGAGAGGAACACCUGCGGCGAAGGCGGGUUGCUGGGCUGACACUGACGCUGAGGCGCGAAAGCCAGGGGAGCGAACGGG